rnacentral:rRNA from 1 species
CCUACGGGGGGCAGCAGUGGGGAAUAUUGGACAAUGGGGGGAACCCUGAUCCAGCCAUGCCGCGUGUGUGAAGAAGGCCCUCGGGUUGUAAAGCACUUUCAGUGAGGAAGAACGCCUGGUGGUUAAUACCCAUCAGGAAAGACAUCACUCACAGAAGAAGCACCGGCUAACUCCGUGCCAGCAGCCGCGGUAAUACGGAGGGUGCGAGCGUUAAUCGGAAUUACUGGGCGUAAAGCGCGCGUAGGUGGCUUGAUAAGCCGGUUGUGAAAGCCCCGGGCGCAACCUGGGAACGGCAUCCGGAACUGUCAAGCUAGAGUGCAGGAGAGGAAGGUAGAAUUCCCGGUGUAGCGGUGAAAUGCGUAGAGAUCGGGAGGAAUACCAGUGGCGAAGGCGGCCUUCUGGACUGACACUGACACUGAGGUGCGAAAGCGUGGGUAGCAAACAGGAUUAGAUACCCCAGUAGUC